UACAGGGGGUGCUAGCGUUGUUCGGAAUUACUGGGCGUAAAGCGCACGUAGGCGGACUAUUAAGUCAGGGGUGAAAUCCCGGGGCUCAACCCCGGAACUGCCUUUGAUACUGGUAGUCUUGAGUUCGAGAGAGGUGAGUGGAAUUCCGAGUGUAGAGGUGAAAUUCGUAGAUAUUCGGAGGAACACCAGUGGCGAAGGCGGCUCACUGGCUCGAUACUGACGCUGAGGUGCGAAAGCGUGGGGAGCAAACAGG
rnacentral:rRNA from 1 species